UCAGUACCAUGCAGCUGUUCACUCACCCCCCUUUCCCCUUCCCAGUUUGGAUGGGGAGGAGAAAUGAAAGAAUAUAAAACCCAUGGGUUGAGAUAUAAACAGUUUAAUAACUAAAAUAAAGUAAAAUAUAGUGAUAAUAGAAAGAAUACCAACAAUAACAGUAUUGAUAAUAAUAAUAGGGAACAACAAAAAAGGGAGAAAUGAAAAUUCAAAAAACACAAGUGAUGCACAAUACAAUUGUUCAGCACCCACCGACCGAUACCCAGCCUGACCCAAGAAGCCAUCUGCCCUUCUGGGUAACUCCCCCCAGUUUAUAUACUGGGCAUGACAUGCUGUGGUAUAGAAUAUCCCUUUGGCUAGUUUGGGUCAGAUGUACCUGUCUCUGCUUCCUCCCUGCUUCUUGUGCCCCUCCUCACUGGCAGAGCAUGAGAGACUGAAAAGUCCUUGAUCAGGAAAGCAAGCUCCCAAGAAUCAGUUUGCAAUAAAAGAGAAAGAAACAUGGGGAAUAUCACAGGUUGCCAGGAAGAGAAGCAUGGAGGCAGCGAUAUUUUCUGCUGUGGGGUGUGUUAGUCUGUUGACAUGCCAUCCAGGGAAAUGAGAAGCAGAGGGAGCUGGCUCAGAAAGGGUCCCUGAAGAAUGGCAACAUGGGAAGCCCAGUUAAUCAGCAGCCCAAGAAGAACAACAUGAUGGCACGAACAAGAUACCUUGCAACUCCAAAAGCAGGCGGCCAAGCCUGCUGCACAGACUUUGAAAAGGACUUCAGGACACUGUGCUCCCCGAUGGACAGGAUGGACUCAGCUACUUUUGGUUUGGCUCUGUCUCCUUUCUCAAAAGGAGGAACCUGCUCUGCUCAGCUGUGUGGUGGCUGCCACGUUGGUCUGCUAUCCUGAGCAGAAUCCUUUCCUCUCCAUCCAGAGUCUGUCCUCGGGCUGGCCUGGAAGCUGUACAAUGGCAUACAGGAGGCUUGAAAAGUACAGCACCCUGUAUGUGACUCAACAGAAACAUGGAGAUACUUUUGAAGAAAGGAAGCACCCAGCUGGGCACCACAUGGAAUGACAGAAAAAGGAAAACAAUCAGUAACUAGAAUGGUUGUCAAGUGCUGUCUUAGCCUAGGGCAGAUCCCAGUUGUCCAAGUUAAUCUAUGUCAGUCCAGUGCUAAUACCAGCAAGGAGCAAAGCUCACUUUCAGAUGCACACACCAAAAACACUGUGUCCCUGAGCUGGCACUGCAGCCAAAUACUACUGCAGAGAGUCUGCUGGACUGUUAGAGCACAGAAAUGAGAUCUAGAGUCCCUUUCUGCUGUUGGCACAUACUACGUGUUUGCUGUAACCUCAGACAAGUCACAUCCCCUCUUGAUGUCCAUUCCCUUCUGCAGCACAGGGGAGAAAGCUGUCUUCCCAAGAUGCUACCACCACCCUGCAUGGAUGUUGCCAAGUGUGUGGUGGACACCAUUGAUAGGAUAGCUCUGCAAGGAAGAUGCAAGAAGCAUGCUAUAGAAGUUUUAUGUGUAUUUUCAAAGUAUACAAAGAACAGCAUCACAAUUCUUCUUUCCCUCUGUUUUCCAUCUUCUGAUGUUGUUUGCAUGUGCCAGAAGGCUUCAGGGUGGAGGUUAGUAGAGAUUAAACAGCCUUGGGGCAGAUGUUUGUCAAGGUUGUCUUUCCCAGUUAUUUGGCAGCUGGCUCUUGCAUAACUAGCUUCUCAAUCUUCAUGCUGCCACAGAGAAUGUGUAAGAAGGUUUAGUGGCCCAACAGCACCAUCCCCUGCUAGUGGAGUUAAGGAACCUAAGAGUGCAACUGGGAUAGCGAGUGCUAAUGGGAGGGAAGAGAGCAUUGAAAGGCUCCUCUGGGAUAUUCCCAUGGCAGUUUCGUGCUCUUACUUUUAGCAUCCAUGUAAAGAUCUGAGGGUAUAAACUGGCACUUUUGCCUAGGCUCUUCCUUUACCAUUCUCCCUUAAAACUCACACAAAGUAUGGCCACUCUUACCUAGAAUGAAUCAGGCUUUGUCACCAGGCUGCAUAUGCCACUGUAAAUAUACCCUGGCUUUGACCUCUAUCACCCUUCAGAGCUGACUCUUCACAUCACUCUCCUAUUUCUACUUCUCAUGUCUCAAAAGAAACAUCUGCAUACAUGUACAGUGCCA